CUGGCCGUGUCACGCUCUCUUGCCUGCUGACGUGUAAAGUCUUGAAGACAGCAUUUGUCUUGCUAAUGGAAAGCAGACAAAACAUUUUCACUGCUUGAUAGCAUCUGUUUGCAGAAUCACCAGUCUUAAAUGGAUAAGAAGAGCCAAGCGAAGACUCAAAAUGGAGAGGAGAAGAGGACAAGACACAUUUCAGACAAGUGCUAAUGAAUGUAAACACGACAGCGAUAAAAGCUGAUGGCCGAGGCCCUGAAGAGAAUUUUAAACCAUUUUUCAAGCGUUUCUCGCCUAACACAUUAGCCUUAUCGUAUUCAUCAUUGGACACGUGCAAUGCUGGGAGAGAGAAAAAAAAGAACUCAUACUGAGGACAUGAAGGAUCGUAUUCUCAUCACCCAAAGGCAUCGUCCUUCCCUACCCUGAAGGAUAAUUUGCACAGACAGAUUUCCUCCUCACACAAACAGAGCUCAGCUGUGAUGGAUAAUACUGAGCUGGGAAACUUCAGCAGCAGGUAGCAUCCUUCCUUUGUGGACAUCAUUUGCCUGCUACACUGGUAAUUCUCAUUAAAUUGUUCAGAUAUUAUGCAUUGCAACCCGAAGACACAGUGACGGGUGAAAUAAUAAUCAGUUGCGCCUGAUUCCUGUGUGGCAGAGGGCCUUUAGAGUAGGAACAUAAUUAAAUUAACCUCAAAGGAACAGGGACGUUCUCGUGGCAUGCAUGCAGAGCCUCCGGUGAUUAGCCCAUCGAUUUAUUAAAAUGUACAGAGCUGCUUUAUUGUGGGUGGUUUGUUUACUUACUUUUUUGAGACAAGAGGAUUUGUCUGAAGGAGUUAAUUAGGGUUUUUUUUCCGUCUUGGAGACUCUGGCAGUCAGGAGGUGGGUGGAGUCCUAGGGAGUUUUUGAUGCCAUCUUUGGCUGUGGAAAAGUUGAAAUCAUUGAAGUAUUAUCAGAUUUAUUUAUCUGCAUUAUCUUGGUCAGUGUCAUAGUGGAUCAGGGGCCUAUCCUGGGAAUACUGAGCAUGAGAAGGAAUGCAUGCCAGCCCUAUCACUAUUCACACCUAGAGGCAAUUUAGUAUAGCAAGUCUACUCACCUGGAUGAUUUUGGAAGAUAGAAGGAAAACACAGAAUCUAGAGGAAAACUUCACAGGCUUAAGGAGGACAAACACAAUUCCAUGCAGACAGCAACACAAGGUCAGGACAUAACCGGGGUCUCUGGUGCUCUGAGGCGACCUGGCAGAUCAUAAUCACAGAAUUCAUUUAGACGAAACAGGAAGAUAAAAUUCCUUGUGACUCGACUUCAAGGAAAAAACAGUUAUAUUUGGAAGCAUAUCUAGAAGCACAAAUCUGGAGCAAAUCAUUUUCCUUUUGUCAUCAAAUAGUCAGUGGACAAGGUUAAAUGUGUUUAGAAUUAUGUCUAUUCUGUGGAGGCCCCGGGCUCCGUUCGCUAGGUUCAUCCACGGGUCAGAGUCCAUCACCUCGAGACGUUCAGGAUGUGGCUGAGAAACAAGCUGGUGACAAACUCUUCCCUCAGGAUAUCCUGCCACAUGUCUGGUUGUAGGUCUGAAAAAAAACCUUGCAUCAUAGCUCCUACAGUGUCAGACAUGGGAAUUGCACAUGGCGUAGGCAGGGGAUUCUAUUGCGCUGGUAGUGAUAUACUGUAUUUUUUAUGAAGGUGUUGUGGGCUGAAGUGUAUGAGGGAAAGGUCCCAGGUUACAGUGUUAUUUGUUAAAAAGUUUCUCAGUUUCACACUUUAUCAGCAGAGUUACCAGUUGUGAGCUGACUCAUAGUGGGUUGUGGAACAUAUCAGAUGCUUAUAGAGUCUGCAACCAUGAAGGAAUUUUUCCAUUGUGCUGAUUUAUUUAUGUAAGCUUGACCAGAAAGGCAAACGAUUAUUAGCAUAAAUCUAUAUUUUGCAGUAAAUCACAGCCAUUAAACAGUAUACUGUAAUUCUGAUUCUGUAUGUUGAUGCUUUACCUCAGGAGGUUUUUGUCUAAUGACUGUCAAAAAAUAAUCACAACUUCUAAAUUUUUUUUUUUAUUGCAUGAUUUAUUACAUGUAAAAUGAUCCAUUUCAGACAUUCAUGUAUAUUCCAUAACGAUCCAUGACAUGGAAUGUUUGUGAUGUCUGCUAAACUGGCAAACGACAAAUGGGGCAAUUUUCUGUUCACUAUAUAUGACUUUGCAUGUAAGAAUUGAAAUUCAAUUCAAUUUUAUUUCUAAUGCGAUUUAAAUAAUAGAAAUUUUAACAAAGCGGCUUCACAGGAAUAUAAAAAAAUAUAUAUUUUUUUUUUACAAUUUAUAUUUAUCCCUAACGAGCAAGCCAGAGGUGACAGUGGUGAGGAAAAACUUCCCGAGACAAUGUAAGGAAAAAACCUAGCGAGGAUCCAGACUCAAAAUGGAAACCAUCUUCAUCUGGGUGACACCGGAG